AUUGAACGCUGGCGGCAGGCCUAACCCAUGCAAGUCGAACGAGUGGCGGACGGGUGAGUAAUGUCUGGGAAACUGCCCGAUGGAGGGGGAUAACUACUGGAAACGGUAGCUAAUACCGCAUACCAUCGGAUGUGCCCAGAUGGGCUUAGCUAGUAGGUGGGGUACCGGCUCACCUAGGCGACGCUCCCUAGCUGGUCUGAGAGGCUGACCAGCCACACGGGAACUGAGACACGGUCCAGACUCCGACGGGAGUCAGCAGUGGGGAAUAUUGCACAAUGGGCGCAAGACUGAUGCAGCCAUGCCGCGUGUAUGAAGAAGGCCUUCGGGUUGUAAAGUACUUUCAGCGGGGAGGCGUUACCCGCAGAAGAAGCACCGGCUAACUCCGUGCCAGCAGCCGCGGUAAUAC
rnacentral:rRNA from 1 species